rnacentral:rRNA from 1 species
GAUGUUGUGUAUGAAUCACUCACCUAUUCUUCCGAAUUAUAUGUAUCUGCGAGAUUAAUUUUUGGUUUCGAUGUGCAAAAGCAAACCAUUUCUAUCGGAAACAUUCCUAUAAUGAAUUCCUUAGGAACCUUUAUUAUAAAUGGAAUAUACCGAAUUGUGAUCAAUCAAAUAUUGCUAAGUCCUGGUAUUUACUACCGCUCGGAAUUAGAUCAUAAGGGAAUUUCUAUCUACACUGGCACUAUAAUAUCAGAUUGGGGGGAGAGAUCGGAAUUAGCAAUUGAUAAAAAAGAAAGGAUAUGGGCUCACGUGAGUAGAAAACAAAAGAUAUCUAUUCUAGUUUUAUCAUCAGCUAUGGGUUCGAAUCUAAGAGAAAUUCUAGAUAAUGUUUCCUACCCUGAAAUUUUCUUGUCUUUCCCGAAUGCUAAGGAGAAGAAGAGGAUUGAGUCAAAAUAAAAAGCUAUUUUGGAGUUUUAUCAACAAUUUGCUUGUGUAGGUGGGGACCUGCUAUUUUCGGAGUCCUUAUGCAAGGAAUUACAAAAGAAGUUUUUUCAACAAAAAUGUGAAUUAGGAAGGAUUGGUCGACGAAAUAUGAAUCGGAGACUUAAUCUUGAUAUACCUCAGAACAAUACAUUCUUGUUACCACGAGAUGUAUUGGCCGCUACGGAUCAUUCGAUUGGAAUGAAAUUUGGAACAGGUAUACUUGACGAUGACGAUAUGAAUCACUUGAAAAAUAAACGUAUUCGUUCGGUUGUGGAUCUGUUACAAGAUCAAUUUGGAUUGGCUCUUCGUCGUAUACAACAUGCAGUUCAAAAUACUAUUCGUAGAGUAUUCAUACGUCAAUCGAAACUGACUCCCCAAACUUUGGUAACUCCAACUUCAACUUCAAUUUUAUUAAUAACUACUUAUGAGACCUUUUUUGGCACAUACCCGUUAUCUCAAGUUUUUGAUCAAACGAAUCCAUUGACACAAACUGUUCAUGGGCUAAAAGUGAGUUGUUUAGAUCCUAGAGGGUUGACAGGGGGAACCGCAAGUUUUCAAAGCCGACAUAUUCAUCCGAGUCACUAUGGGCGUAUUUGUCCAAUUGACACGUCUGAAGGAAUCAUUGUUGGACUUACUGGAUCCUUAGAAAUUCAUGCGAGAAUUGAUCACUUGUGGGGAUCCAUAUAG